rnacentral:lncRNA from 1 species
AAAAUCACCUUUAUAUGUUCUGCUAUAAUAAAAAUUUCACAAUUUCUGUGAUGCUUCAAUAGUCCCACAUCGUAUAGAAAAAAGUAUCUGAUUGGGAUAUAAGAGACUGUGAACUCUAAUAACAAUAAGGGCUGUUGGUUUGAGUCCAACGAGUUAGAAACUUAGAAUCUUUACAAUUGGUAUCAGAGACGAACACCAAUCAAAAUGGAACUUAGGAUCUUUACAAUUGAUAUCAGAGACAAAUACCAACCAGAAGUGUGAGAGCUGUGAAAGCUAAAUGUUAUGUAGGCAAGGUUCUGCAUCACGGGUUUGAGAGCUAUGAAAACUAAAUAUUAUGCGGGGCAAAAUUCUGCAUCACGGGUUUGAAUACGGGAGAAAGUUCAAUACCAUUAGUUCGAUGGAAGUCACCUCUAGAAUCUUUAUAUUGCCUGACAAUUUUAAUUUAUAUGUCUGUGAUCUGGUUUGGAUUUGACGAGGAUUUGUGAGAGUUAAAUGUUAUAAGAGGCAAAGUUCUACAUCACGAGUUUGGAUGCGGUACAAAGUUCUACACCAUGAGUUUAGUGGGAGCCAUCUGUAGAGUCAAUUUCACAUUGAUGGUUAAUUCUUAUUUAUAUGUCUAUGAUCCAGUUUGGACCUAACAAGAACUUAAAUACAAGAGGUUGCGCACCCUAAUAAUAAUAAUCGGGCUUAAGUAUUUUGAGUCGGUGAUAGUUAAGUCGAGUUAUUAUUCCUAACAGUCAGGUCAGUCACCAAAACUACUAUCGGUAUACAGAGUAGGGGAAAAUAAGCACUGUAUGGGACAUUUAUAUAGCUCUCAUGUAUCUCAAAAUUAUUGGGCGAAAUUUAGUUUACAAAAAAAAAUCUUUGAGGAGAUGUGU